rnacentral:lncRNA from 1 species
UCUUGGUCUCUUUUGAUAGAAAACCUUAGUUUGCUAUGUAUAAAGUUGUUAGUUUAUUCGUCAGGUGGUUUCAUUGCGGUUCAAUAUUACUUCAUCCUUAAUUUUGUCUAAAAUGGAUUUCUUUUGCUCUUGUUCUAGUUUUCAACGUCGUUCUUUUUGAUUUUUUUUUGCAAAUAUGGAGCAGGAUCUUCUAUACCUCACAUGUGGAGCAGGAUCUGCUUACCCUUCCGGAGCACCUGAGAUCAUCCCUAGUUAUUGGUGGGGUUCGUGUUGCUUAUUCUUUAGUUUUCUAUGUUGUUUCAUGUGCACUAAUGUUUGUAUAUUUGUCUUUUUCAUUUUUAGCCAUGAUAUUGUCAGUUUAUUUUCGAUUUAUGAGCUUGACUGUCCCUCUGGUAUCUUUCGUCUCUCUUUUUCUAAAUCAUUUGGUCUCUUGUGGAGAGAUGUCUCAUUGGCAAUCAUACCACGUCUUCUUUUUUAUUUAUUCGGCGUAGCUUAGACUUUCUUUUUGGUUGUUUUUCUUUUCUUGUCAUGCAAGGUGUUCGCAUUUCUGUAAUUCAGGCACGAUAUCAAAUAAGAAGAUGCUGAGGACUCCAAAUAACAUGGAUGAACGGACAAAGUAAAAGUACCG